AGAUAAUUCUUCUCCCCUGACUGGACCUCUGGCAGCAGCUUCACUAAGGUGGGAUGGAUAGCAGGGUCUCAGGCACAACCAGUAAUGGAGAGACAAAACCAGUGUAUCCAGUCAUGGAAAAGAAGGAGGAAGAUGGCACCCUGGAGCGGGGGCACUGGAACAACAAGAUGGAGUUUGUGCUGUCAGUGGCUGGGGAGAUCAUUGGCUUAGGCAACGUCUGGAGGUUUCCCUAUCUCUGCUACAAAAAUGGGGGAGGUGCCUUCUUCAUCCCCUACCUCGUCUUCCUCUUUACCUGUGGCAUUCCUGUCUUCCUUCUGGAGACAGCACUAGGCCAGUACACUAGCCAGGGAGGCGUCACAGCCUGGAGGAAGAUCUGCCCCAUCUUUGAGGGCAUUGGCUAUGCCUCCCAGAUGAUCGUCAUCCUCCUCAACGUCUACUACAUCAUUGUGUUGGCCUGGGCCCUGUUCUACCUCUUCAGCAGCUUCACCAUCGACCUGCCCUGGGGCGGCUGCUACCAUGAGUGGAACACAGAACACUGUAUGGAGUUCCAGAAGACCAACGGCUCCCUGAAUGGUACCUCUGAGAAUGCCACCUCUCCUGUCAUCGAGUUCUGGGAGCGGCGGGUCUUGAAGAUCUCUGAUGGGAUCCAGCACCUGGGGGCCCUGCGCUGGGAGCUGGCUCUGUGCCUCCUGCUGGCCUGGGUCAUCUGCUACUUCUGCAUCUGGAAGGGGGUGAAGUCCACAGGCAAGGUUCGUGUGGGGAGCUCCUGCCCCUCCCAUUCCCGGACUCCUGCCCUCACUGGGGGCUGUCACCCAGGAGUUCUCUAAGCUGUGGCCCCGUUGAGGACGGGAGGCGAUGACCCAGCGAGGAUUUGAUGUGGCUCCCUUCCUUGAUUCUCCGCCUCUCCUAGACUCACAUACUUCUGGUUUUUGGGACUGGAAGAGAGCGAGAAAGGCAGGAAGGACACCUCCAGGGUAAUCUGAUCUUGGAACUGACGAUGG
rnacentral:sRNA from 1 species